UACGAAGGGGGCUAGCGUUGCUCGGAAUUACUGGGCGUAAAGCGCACGUAGGCGGCUUCUUAAGUCGGUGGUGAAAUCCUGGAGCUCAACUCCAGAACUGCCUUCGAUACUGGGAAGCUCGAGUCCGGGAGAGGUGAGUGGAACUGCGAGUGUAGAGGUGAAAUUCGUAGAUAUUCGCAAGAACACCAGUGGCGAAGGCGGCUCACUGGUCCGGUACUGACGCUGAGGUGCGAAAGCGUGGGGAGCAAACAGG
rnacentral:rRNA from 1 species